CCGGAAUUAUUGGGCGUAAAGAGCUUGUAGGCGGUCUGUCGCGUCUGCUGUGAAAAUCCGGGGCUCAACCCCGGACUUGCAGUGGGUACGGGCAGACUAGAGUGUGGUAGGGGAGACUGGAAUUCCUGGUGUAGCGGUGAAAUGCGCAGAUAUCAGGAGGAACACCGAUGGCGAAGGCAGGUCUCUGGGCCACUACUGACGCUGAGAAGCGAAAGCGUGGGGAGCGAACAGG
rnacentral:rRNA from 1 species